GAGGCGCCGAGCAAGAUGGCGGUGCGAGUGCUCCGCGCCCGCGGAGCGGCCUGGGCCGGCGGCCUCCUGCGGCGGGCGGCCCCCUGCAGCCUUCUGCCCAGGCUCCGGACGUGGACAUCUUCCAGCAACAGAUCUCGAGAAGACAGCUGGCUAAAAUCCUUAUUUGUCCGGAAAGUUGAUCCAAGAAAAGAUGCCCACUCCAAUCUCCUAGCCAAAAAGGAAACAAGCAAUCUAUACAAAUUACAGUUUCACAAUGUUAAACCGGAAUGCCUAGAAGCAUACAACAAAAUUUGGUGUGUAUACCAAACUAUCCUUUACUUGGGGAAAAAUAAUGACUUUAUUUGUUAGUUAAUUCCACUGACGCUUGAUAGCAUAGAGAGAGAUCUUUCAUCCCUCUCUUUUGAAGCUGAACAUUCAGAGGCUCUUAAACUGAGCUUCGUGUGGGAUUGCCGAAGGCAUUUUUAUUUUCAGCACUCACACAGCUAAAUCAUCAUAUA
rnacentral:sRNA from 1 species